CACCUCUAGCAUAACUAGUAUUAGAGGCACUGCCUGCCCAGUGACAAUCGUUAAACGGCCGCGGUAUCUUGACCGUGCAAAGGUAGCAUAAUCACUUGUUCUCUAAAUAAGGACUUGUAUGAAUGGCCACACGAGGGUUUUACUGUCUCUUACUCCUAAUCAGUGAAAUUGACCUCCCCGUGAAGAGGCGGGGAUGACACAAUAAGACGAGAAGACCCUAUGGAGCUUUAAUUAAUCAACUCAAAAAGCAUAAAACAAUACCACCAAGGGAUAACAAAACUUUAUAUGAGCUGACAAUUUCGGUUGGGGUGACCUCGGAGUAUAAAAAACCCUCCGAGUGAUUAAAACUUAGGCCUACUAGCCAAAGUACAGUAUCACAUAUUGAUCCAAAAUUUUGAUCAACGGAACAAGUUACCCUAGGGAUAACAGCGCAAUCCUAUUCUAGAGUCCAUAUCGACAAUAGGGUUUACGACCUCGAUGUUGGAUCAGGACAUCCUAAUGGUGCAGCAGCUAUUAAGGGUUCGUUUGUUCAACGAUUAAAGUCCU
rnacentral:rRNA from 1 species